rnacentral:tRNA from 1 species
GACCUGGUAGCUCAGCCGGUAGAGCAUUUCACUUUUAAUGAAAGGGUCCUGGGUUCGAAUCCCAGCCCGGUCACCA